CAUUCUUCUUUGCAUUGCGUACCGUAAGAAUUUGCUAACUAUGGAAUGUGAAGAAGUAUGCC
rnacentral:pre_miRNA from 1 species